GAUGAACGCUAGCGAUAGGCUUAACACAUGCAAGUCGAGGGGCAGCACAUGAGUGGCAACACGAUGGUGGCGACCGGCGCACGGGUGAGUAACACGUAUGCAACCUGCCCAUAACUGGGGGAUAACCCGUAGAAAGGCGGACUAAUACCGACUGACAACGAUGAUCCGCAUGGUGAUUCGUUUACAGAUUUAUCGUUUAUGGAUGGGCAUGCGUUCCAUUAGGUAGUUGGCAGGGUAACGGCCUACCAAGCCUACGAUGGAUAGGGGUUCUGAGAGGAAGGUCCCCCACACUGGAAAUGAGACACGGACCAGACUCCUACGGGAGGCAGCAGUGAGGAAUAUUGGUCAAUGGGCGAGAGCCUGAACCAGCCAAAUCGCGUGAAGGAUGAAGGUAUUAUGUAUUGUAAACUUCUUUUGUCGGGGAAUAAAGUGCAGCACGUGUGCUGUUUUGUAUGUACCCGAAGAAUAAGGAUCGACUAACUCCGUGCCAGCAGCCGCCGUAACAC
rnacentral:rRNA from 1 species